rnacentral:rRNA from 1 species
UACGUAGGGGGCAAGCGUUGUCCGGAAUUAUUGGGCGUAAAGAGCGUGUAGGCGGUCCGGUAAGUCGGCUGUGAAAGUCCAGGGCUCAACCCUGGGAUGCCGGUCGAUACUGGUGUGACUCGAGUCCGGUAGGGGAGCGUGGAAUUCCUGGUGUAGCGGUGAAAUGCGUAGAUAUCCGGAGGAACACCGGUGGCGAAGGCGGCUUCCUGGACCGACACUGACGCUGAGGCGCGAAAGCUAGGGGAGCAAACGGG